CCUACGGGAGGCAGCAGUAAGGAAUAUUGGUCAAUGGGGGCAACCCUGAACCAGCCAUGCCGCGUGCAGGAUGAAGGCCCUAUGGGUCGUAAACUGCUUUUAUACCGGAGAAAACCACCGUACGUGUACGGUGUUGAUAGUAUGGUAAGAAUAAGCAUCGGCUAACUUCGUGCCAGCAGCCGCGGUAAGACGAAGGAUGCAAGCGUUAUCCGGAUUCAUUGGGUUUAAAGGGUGCGUAGGCGGACCUGUAAGUCAGUGGUGAAAUCUCUUUGCUUAACAAAGAAACUGCCAUUGAUACUGCAAGUCUAGAGUAUAGAUGACGUUGGCGGAAUAUGACAUGUAGUGGUGAAAUACUUAGAUAUGUCAUAGAACACCGAUUGCGAAGGCAGCUAACGAAACUAUAACUGACGCUGAGGCACGAAAGUGCGGGGAUCAAACAGGAUUAGAUACCCUGGUAGUCCGCACCGUAAACGAUGAUUACUCGUUGUUGGCAAUAUGACCGUCAGCGACCAAGCGAAAGCGAUAAGUAAUCCACCUGGGGAGUACGCCGGCAACGGUGAACCUUAAAUGAAUUGAGG
rnacentral:rRNA from 1 species